rnacentral:lncRNA from 10 species
GCUAAUCUCAUGAUUCUUGACCACAUCCUAGAUGCAAAUCAGUUCAUCUUGAUCAAAUGUCCCCUGCGCAGAUGACGGGGGUGGGGCUAGGGGAAAUGUAUUUGCCUGCUGCCUCAGUGAUAGUCACUUUCCUUUUCCAACAGGCAAUGGAGGGGGCACCUGGGUGUGCUGGAGGCCCAAGAGGCUCACUGCUUCCAAGAGAACUGUCCCUAAACACGUACAGAGCCUGAUGAACAUCUUACGUCAUGACCCACAAGUGAAUAAGAGAAUGGAUUGUAUGAAGUAGUUCUUCCUUGAAUUUUUGCUUUAGGGCUCUCUGGUUCCUGAGUUUGUUGCAUCCCUUCCUCCAGCUGGAGUAGAGAAAACAAAGAGGGUCUCUUGGGAUCUUGGCCUCAAAUCAAGAAAUAACCUUGUGGCUGGGCACAGUGGCUAAUGCCUGUAAUCCCAAGACUUUAGGAGGCGAAGGCAGGAGGAUUGCUUGAAACCAGGAGUUCAAGAUCAACCUGGGCAACAAAGUUAGACCCCCCCGCCCAUCUCUACAAAAAAUAAAAAAUUAGCUGGGCAUGGUGGUGUGUGCCUGUACUCCUAGCUGCUUAGAAGACUGAAGUAGGAGGAUCACUUGAGCCCAGGAGUUGGAGGCUAUAGUGAGCUGUGAUG